GACGAACGCUGGCGGUGUGCUUAACACAUGCAAGUCGAACGGUAAGGCCCUUUCGGGGGUACACGAGUGGCGAACGGGUGAGUAACACGUGAGUAACCUGCCCUCAUCUCUGGGAUAACAGUCGGAAACGGUUGCUAAUACUGGAUAUGAGCUUGCAAGGCAUCUUGUGGGUUGGAAAGAUUUUUUUUGGUUGGGGAUGGACUCGCGGCCUAUCAGCUUGUUGGUGAGGUAGUGGCUCACCAAGGCUUCGACGGGUAGCCGGCCUGAGAGGGCGACCGGCCACAUUGGGACUGAGAUACGGCCCAAACUCCUACGGGAGGCAGCAGUGGGGAAUAUUGCACAAUGGACGGAAGUCUGAGGCAGCAACGCCGCGUGCGGGAUGACGGCCUUCGGGUUGUAAACCGCUUUCAAUUGUGACGAAGCGUUUUUGUGACGGUAGCAGUAGAAGAAGCACCGGCUAACUACGUG
rnacentral:rRNA from 1 species